AGCAGCCGCGGUAAUUCCAGCUCCAAUAGCGUAUAUUAAAGUUGUUGCAGUUAAAAAGCUCGUAGUUGAACUUCGGGAUCAAGGAAUCGGUCAUGCCUUGGUAUGUACUGGUUUUAUUGGUUCUCACCUUCUAAAGAACCAUGAUGUCAUUCAUUUGAUGUUGUGGGGAAUCAGGACUGUUACUUUGAAAAAAUUAGAGUGUUUAAAGCAGGCUCACGCUUGAAUACAUUAGCAUGGAAUAAUGAAAUAGGACGUUUGAUUCUAUUUUGUUGGUUUCUAGGAUCGACGUAAUGAUUAAUAGGGAUAGUUGGGGGCAUUAGUAUUCAAUUGUCAGAGGUGAAAUUCUUGGAUUUAUUGAAGACUAACUACUGCGAAAGCAUUUGCCAAGGAUGUUUUCAUUAAUCAAGAACGAAAGUUAGGGGAUCGAAGACGAUCAGAUACCGUCGUAGUCUUAACCAUAAACUAUGCCGACUAGGGAUCGGAUGAUGUUAAUUUUUAAUGA
rnacentral:rRNA from 1 species